rnacentral:rRNA from 1 species
GGAAUAUUGGACAAUGGGCGCAAGCCUGAUCCAGCAAUGCCGCGUGUGUGAAGAAGGCCUGCGGGUUGUAAAGCACUUUCAGUGGGGAGGAAGGCUUUGUAGUUAAUAACUGCAAGGAUUGACGUUACCCACAGAAGAAGCACCGGCGAACUCUGUUCCAGCAGCCGCGGUAAUACCGAGGGUGCAAGCGUUAAUCGGAAUUACUGGGCGUAAAGGGUGCGUAGGUGGUUUGUUAAGUCAGGUGUGAAAGCCCCGGGCUCAACCUGGGAACUGCAUUUGAAACUAACAAACUAGAGUGCGAUAGAGGGAAGUGGAAUUUCCGGUGUAGCGGUGAAAUGCGUAGAUAUCGGAAGGAACACCAGUGGCGAAGGCGACUUCCUGGAUCGUAACUGACACUGAGGCACGAAAGCGUGGGGAGCAAAC